AGUUUGCGGCUCAACCGUAAAAUUGCAGUUGAUACUGGAUAUCUUGAGUGCAGUUGAGGCAGGCGGAAUUCGUGGUGUAGCGGUGAAAUGCUUAGAUAUCACGAAGAACUCCGAUUGCGAAGGCAGCCUGCUAAGCUGCAACUGACAUUGAGGCUCGAAAGUGUGGGUAUCAAACAGGAUUAGAUACCCUGGUAGUCCACACGGUAUACGAUGAAUACUCGCUGUUUGCGAUAUACUGCAAGCGGCCAAGCGAAAGCGUUAAGUAUUCCACCUGGGGAGUACGCUGGCAACGGUGAAACUCAAAAGAAUUGACGGGGGCCCGCACAAGCGGAGGAACAUGUGGUUUAAUUCGAUGAUACGCGAGGAACCUUACCCGGGCUUAAAUUGCAGAUGAAUUACGGUGAAAGCCGUAAGCCGCAAGGCAUCUGUGAAGGUGCUGCAUGGUUGUCGUCAGCUCGUGCCGUGAGGUGUCGGCUUAAGUGCCAUAACGAGCGCAACCCUUGUUGUCAGUUACUAACAGGUUCCGCUGAGGACUCUGACAAGACUGCCAUCGUAAGAUGUGAGUAAGGUGGGGAUGACGUCAAAUCAGCACGGCCCUUACUUCCGGGGCUACACACGUGUUACAAUGGGGGGUACAGAGGGCCGCUACCACGCGAGUGGAUGCCAAUCCCCAAAACCUCUCUCA
rnacentral:rRNA from 1 species